UGAGGCGCGAAANCCAGGGGAGCGAACGGGAUUAGAUACCCCGGUAGUCCUGGCNGUAAACGAUGGGUACUAGGUGUAGGAGGUAUCGACCCNUUCUGUGCCGGAGUUAACGCAAUAGGUACCCCNCCUGGGGAGUACGACCGCAAGGUUGAAACUCAAAGGAAUUGACGGGGGCCCGCACAAGCGGUGGAGUAUGUGGUUUAAUUCGACGCAACGCGAAGAACCUUACCAGGUCUUGACAUUGAUGGACAGAACCAGAGAUGGUUCNUCUUCUUCGGAAGCCAGAAAACAGGUGGUGCACGGUUGUCGUCAGCUCGUGUCGUGAGAUGUUGGGUUAAGUCCCGCAACGAGCGCAAUCCCUAUCUUAUGUUGCCAGCACUUUGGGUGGGGACUCAUGAGAGACUGCCGCAGACAAUGCGGAGGAAGGCGGGGAUGACGUCAAAUCAUCAUGCCCCUUAUGACCUGGGCUACACACGUACUACAAUGGGAGUUAAUAGACGGAAGCGAGAUCGCGAGAUGGAGCAAACCCGAGAAACACUCUCUCAGUUCGGAUCGUAGGCUGCAACUCGCCUACGUGAAGUCGGAAUCGCUAGUAAUCGCAGGUCAGCAUACUGCGGUGAAUACGUUCCCGGGCCUUNU
rnacentral:rRNA from 1 species